rnacentral:rRNA from 1 species
UUUCUAAGAGUCGAGUUGUUUGGGAUUGCAGCUCAAAAUGGGAGGUAAAUUUCUCCUAAGGCUAAAUAUUGGCGAGAGACCGAUAGCGAACAAGUACCGUGAGGGAAAGAUGAAAAGAACUUUGAAAAGAGAGUUAAACAGUACGUGAAAUUGCUGAAAGGGAAACGAUUGAAGUCAGUCGUACUAACGGGAAAUCAACCUAUUUUGAGUUGUGAAUUUUGGAUUUUGAAGAGUGUAAACCUUCUGGUUCAAAUAUUCGCGCUUUUUGGGCGUAAUUUCUCGUUCGGUAGGUUAACAUCGAUUUUGAAUAUUAUAAAAUGACUGGAGGAAUGUAGCUUCGAUCUCGUAUUGAAGUGUUAUAGCCUUUGGUAGAUGUAAUGAUCAAGAUCGAGGAUUGCAACGAAUACCCUUUGGGCUAUCCGUCUGAUCUCUGAUACGUUGCCUUGGUAACGAAAGCUUGCUUACGGUAUUGAGGUAUAACGGUCAAAAGGUUAGAACGUGAUUACAUCGUU